rnacentral:rRNA from 1 species
UCGCCUGUUUAACAAAAACAUGUCUUUUUGAAAUUUUUUUAAAAGUCUAGCCUGCCCACUGAAUAAUUUAAAUGGCCGCAGUAUACUAACUGUGCAAAGGUAGCAUAAUCAUUAGUCUUUUAAUUGAAGGCUGGUAUGAAUGGUUGGACGAGAUAUUAACUGUUUCAUUAAAAAUUGUAUUAGAAUUUUAUUUUUUAGUUAAAAAGCUAAAAUUAAAUUAAAAGACGAGAAGACCCUAUAAAUCUUUAUAUAUAAAUUAUUAGAAUUUUGUAGAUUUUUUUUAUUAUAAUAAUUAAUUAUAUUUUAUUGGGGUGAUAUUAAAAUUUAAUAAACUUUUAAUUUUUAAAAUCAUUAAUUUAUGAAUAAUUGAUCCGUUAUUAACGAUUGAAAAAAUAAGUUACUUUAGGGAUAACAGCGUAAUUUUUUUGGAGAGUUCAUAUCGAUAAAAAAGAUUGCGACCUCGAUGUUGGAUUAAGAUAUAAUUUUAGGUGUAGCCGUUUAAAUUUUAAGUCUGUUCGACUUUUAAAUUCUUACGUGAUCUGAGUUCAGACCGGA